UGCCAGCCGCCGCGGUAAUACGGAGGGGGUUAGCGUUGUUCGGAAUUACUGGGCGUAAAGCGCACGUAGGUGGCUUGGUAAGUCGGAUGUGAAAGCCCUGGGCUCAACCUGGGAAUUGCAUUCGAUACUGCUUAGCUAGAGUAUGAGAGAGGGUAGUGGAAUUCCGGGUGUAGCGGUGAAAUGCGUAGAUAUCCGGAGGAACAUCAGUGGCGAAGGCGAGACUCUGGACAUUUACUGACGCUCAGGCACGAAGGCUAGGGUAGCGAAGCGGAUUAGAUA
rnacentral:rRNA from 1 species